GAUGAAGAACGUAGCGAAAUGCGAUAAGUAAUGUGAAUUGCAGAAUUCAGUGAAUCAUCGAAUCUUUGAACGCACAUUGCGCCCCCUGGUAUUCCGGGGGGCAUGCCUGUCCGAGCGUCAUUGCUGCCCUCAAGCACGGCUUGUGUGUUGGGCCUCCGUCCUCCUCCCGGGGGACGGGCCCGAAAGGCAGCGGCGGCACCGCGUCCGGUCCUCGAGCGUAUGGGGCUUCGUCACCCGCUCUUGUAGGCCCGGCCGGCGCUUGCCGACACAUCAAUCUUUUUUCCAGGUUGACCUCGGAUCAGGUAGGGAUACCCGCUGAACUUAAGCAUAUCAAAGCGGAGGA
rnacentral:misc_RNA from 1 species